UACGGGGGGAGCAAGCGUUGUUCGGAUUUACUGGGCGUAAAGGGCGCGUAGGCGGUCGUGACAAGUCACUUGUGAAAUCUCCGGGCUUAACUCGGAAAGGUCAAGUGAUACUGUCGGACUAGAGUACAGAAGGGGCAACUGGAAUUCUCGGUGUAGCGGUGAAAUGCGUAGAUAUCGGGAAGAACACCGGUGGCGAAGGCGGCGACCUGGUCCAUUACUGACGCUGAGGCGCGACAGCGUGGGGGAGCAAACAGG
rnacentral:rRNA from 1 species